ACUAAACUGACCAGGAUUCGACCCUGGGUUAUAGUCAAAUUAAGUGAUUAAAAUGGCCAUUAUUAUUGUUGUGAUCGUCUAGUAUAAAGAUUGUGUUUAAUAUGACUACAGAAUAGUGGGAAUCAUAAUGGAAGGAAGACAAAAUAAGAUGCAACGUACGGGUUUUAGCUACAAUAAUUAGUAAGAUUGAAGACUUCUUGACGAUGUUUAUAAUGUAUCCUAUAAAAUAUUCACUCGCCAGAAUCGUCCAAAGAUCCAG